rfam:Stemphylium lycopersici strain CIDEFI 216 scaffold11, whole genome shotgun sequence.
CUCCGCUUGGUGUAGUUGGUUUAUCACGUUCGACUGUAAUUGCAAUUGUUAUCGAAAGGUCCCUAGUUCGAUUCUGGGAGCGGAGA